UACGUAGGGGGCAAGCGUUGUCCGGAAUCAUUGGGCGUAAAGCGCGUGUAGGCGGCCCGGUAAGUCCGCUGUGAAAGUCGGGGGCUCAACCCUCGAAUGCCGGUGGAUACUGUCGGGCUAGAGUGCGGGAGAGGCGAGUGGAAUUCCUGGUGUAGCGGUGAAAUGCGCAGAUAUCAGGAGGAACACCGGUGGCGAAGGCGGCUUCCUGGACACUAACUGACGCUGAGACGCGAAAGCGUGGGGAGCAAACAGG
rnacentral:rRNA from 1 species